rnacentral:rRNA from 1 species
AUGGCUCAGGAUGAACGCUAGCUACAGGCUUAACACAUGCAAGUCGAGGGGCAGCAUUGGAGUAGCAAUACUCAGAUGGCGACCGGCGCACGGGUGAGUAACACGUAUCCAACCUGCCGCUUACUCGGGGAUAGCCUUUCGAAAGAAAGAUUAAUACCCGAUGGUAUAAAGAGUUCGCAUGUUCUCUUUAUUAAAGAAUUUCGGUAAGCGAUGGGGAUGCGUUCCAUUAGAUAGUUGGCGGGGUAACGGCCCACCAAGUCUACGAUGGAUAGGGGUUCUGAGAGGAAGGUCCCCCACAUUGGAACUGAGACACGGUCCAAACUCCUACGGGAGGCAGCAGUGAGGAAUAUUGGUCAAUGGACGAGAGUCUGAACCAGCCAAAAGUAGCGUGAAGGAUGACUGCCCUAUGGGUUGUAAACUUCUUUUAUAAGGGAAUAAAGUGAGGGACGUGUCCCUUUUUGUAUGUACCUUAUGAAUAAGGAUCGGCUAACUCCGUGCCAGCCGCCGC